UGAAGUGAUGAGAUGACUUAGUGGCGGACGGGUGAGGUAACGCGUGGGUAACCUGCCGUAUGCAGGGGGACAACAGUUGGAAACGACUGCUAAUACCGCAUAAGCGCACGGUAUUGCAUGAUACAGUGUGAAAAGAUUUAUCGGCAUACGAUGGACCCGCGUCUGAUUAGCUAGUUGGGUGAGGUAACGGCCCACCAAGGCGACGAUCAGUAGCCGGCCUGAGAGGGUGAACGGCCACAUUGGGACUGAGACACGGCCCAAACUCCUACGGGAGGCAGCAGUGGGGAAUAUUGCACAAUGGGGGAAACCCUGAUGCAGCCGACGCCGCGUGAGUGAAGAAGUAUCUCGGUAUGUAAAGCUCUAUCAGCAGGGAAGAAAAUGACGGUACCUGACUAAGAAGCCCCGGCUAACUACGUGCCAGCAGCCGC
rnacentral:rRNA from 1 species